CGUAGGGUGAACCUGCGGAGGGAUCAUUACCGAGUUUUCAACUCCCUAACCCUUCUGUGAACCUACCUAUCGUUGCUUCGGCGGACUCGCCCCAGCCCGGACGCGGACUGGACCAGCGGCCCGCCGGGGACCUCAAACUCUUGUAUUCCAGCAUCUUCUGAAUACGCCGCAAGGCAAAACAAAUGAAUCAAAACUUUCAACAACGGAUCUCUUGGCUCUGGCAUCGAUGAAGAACGCAGCGAAACGCGAUAAGUAAUGUGAAUUGCAGAAUCCAGUGAAUCAUCGAAUCUUUGAACGCACAUUGCGCCCGCCAGCAUUCUGGCGGGCAUGCCUGUUCGAGCGUCAUUUCAACCCUCGACCUCCCCUUGGGGGGGUCGGCGUUGGGGACCGGCAGCACACCGCCGGCCCUGAAAUGGAGUGGCGGCCCGUCCGCGGCGACCUCUGCGCAGUAAUACAGCUCGCACCGGAACCCCGACGCGGCCACGCCGUAAAACACCCAACUUCUGAACGUUGACCUCGAAUCAGGUAGGACUACCCGCUGAACUUAAGCAUAUCAAUAAGCGGAGGA
rnacentral:rRNA from 1 species